rnacentral:SRP_RNA from 1 species
GGAUAUAGUAUUUAAUAUUUUUAAAAAAUAUAUUUAAUUUGCCAGAAUCUUAAGAUAGCAGCAAGAAUAUAUAAUUUUAAUUAGUCAUUAAAACUAUAUCU